GGUACCCUACGGGGGGCAGCAGUGAGGAAUAUUGGUCAAUGGGCGGAAGCCUGAACCAGCCAAGUCGCGUGAGGGAAUAAGGCCCUACGGGUCGUAAACCUCUUUUGCCGGGGAGCAAGGGCCGGGACGCGUCCCGGCCCGGAGAGUACCCGGAGAAAAAGCAUCAGCUAACUCCGUGCCAGCAGCCGCGGUAAUACGGAGGAUGCGAGCGUUAUCUGGAUUUAUUGGGUUUAAAGGGGGCGUAGGUUGUUUUAU
rnacentral:rRNA from 1 species